ACUAAGCGUACACGGUGGAUGCCCUGGCAGUCAGAGGCGAUGAAGGACGUGCUAAUCUGCGAAAAGCGCCGGCGAGGUGAUAUGAACCCUUGACCCGGCGAUGUCCGAAUGGGGAAACCCAGUGCAAUCCGUUGCACUAUCGUUAACUGAAUACAUAGGUUAACGAGGCGAACCGGGGGAACUGAAACAUCUAAGUACCCCGAGGAAAAGAAAUCAACCGAGAUUCCCCCAGUAGCGGCGAGCGAACGGGGAGCAGCCCGGAGUCUGAAUCAGCUUGUGUGUUAGUGGAACGGUCUGGAAAGUCCGACGGUACAGGGUGAUAGUCCCGUACACGAAAGCACACUUGCUGUGAACUCGAAGAGUAGGGCGGGACACGUGGUAUCCUGUCUGAAUAUGGGGGGACCAUCCUCCAAGGCUAAAUACUCCUGACUGACCGAUAGUGAACCAGUACCGUGAGGGAAAGGCGAAAAGAACCCCGGCGAGGGGAGUGAAAAAGAACCUGAAACCGUGUACGUACAAGCAGUGGGAGCCUCUUUAUGGGGUGACUGCGUACCUUUUGUAUAAUGGGUCAGCGACUUAUAUUCUGUAGCAAGGUUAACCGUAUAGGGGAGCCGAAGGGAAACCGAGUCUUAACUGGGCGUUAAGUUGCAGGGUAUAGACCCGAAACCCGGUGAUCUAGCCAUGGGCAGGUUGAAGGUUGGGUAACACUAACUGGAGGACCGAACCGACUAAUGUUGAAAAAUUAGCGGAUGACCUGUGGCUGGGGGUGAAAGGCCAAUCAAACCGGGAGAUAGCUGGUUCUCCCCGAAAGCUAUUUAGGUAGCGCCUCGUGAACUCAUCUUCGGGGGUAGAGCACUGUUUCGGCUAGGGGGCCAUCCCGGCUUACCAACCCGAUGCAAACUACGAAUACCGAAGAAUGUUAUCACGGGAGACACACGGCGGGUGCUAACGUCCGUCGUGAAGAGGGAAACAACCCAGACCGCCAGCUAAGGUCCCAAAGUCAUGGUUAAGUGGGAAACGAUGUGGGAAGGCACAGACAGCCAGGAUGUUGGCUUAGAAGCAGCCAUCAUUUAAAGAAAGCGUAAUAGCUCACUGGUCGAGUCGGCCUGCGCGGAAGAUGUAACGGGGCUAAACCAUGCACCGAAGCUGCGGCAGCGACACUUAUGUGUUGUUGGGUAGGGGAGCGUUCUGUAAGCCGUUGAAGGUGGCCUGUGAGGGUUGCUGGAGGUAUCAGAAGUGCGAAUGCUGACAUAAGUAACGAUAAAGCGGGUGAAAAGCCCGCUCGCCGGAAGACCAAGGGUUCCUGUCCAACGUUAAUCGGGGCAGGGUGAGUCGACCCCUAAGGCGAGGCCGAAAGGCGUAGUCGAUGGGAAACAGGUUAAUAUUCCUGUACUUGGUGUUACUGCGAAGGGGGGACGGAGAAGGCUAUGUCAGCCGGGCGACGGUUGUCCCGGUUUAAGCAUGUAGGCGGAGGUUCCAGGUAAAUCCGGUACCUUUUAACGCUGAGGUGUGAUGACGAGGCACUACGGUGCUGAAGUGAUAAAUGCCCUGCUUCCAGGAAAAGCCUCUAAGCAUCAGGUAACACGAAAUCGUACCCCAAACCGACACAGGUGGUCAGGUAGAGAAUACCAAGGCGCUUGAGAGAACUCGGGUGAAGGAACUAGGCAAAAUGGUGCCGUAACUUCGGGAGAAGGCACGCUGAUGUGUAGGUGAAGCCCCUGCGGGUGGAGCUGAAAUCAGUCGAAGAUACCAGCUGGCUGCAACUGUUUAUUAAAAACACAGCACUGUGCAAACACGAAAGUGGACGUAUACGGUGUGACGCCUGCCCGGUGCCGGAAGGUUAAUUGAUGGGGUUAGCGGCAACGCGAAGCUCUUGAUCGAAGCCCCGGUAAACGGCGGCCGUAACUAUAACGGUCCUAAGGUAGCGAAAUUCCUUGUCGGGUAAGUUCCGACCUGCACGAAUGGCGUAAUGAUGGCCAGGCUGUCUCCACCCGAGACUCAGUGAAAUUGAACUCGCUGUGAAGAUGCAGUGUACCCGCGGCAAGACGGAAAGACCCCGUGAACCUUUACUAUAGCUUGACACUGAACACUGGUCCUUGAUGUGUAGGAUAGGUGGGAGGCUUUGAAGCGUGGACGCCAGUCUGCGUGGAGCCAACCUUGAAAUACCACCCUUUAAUGGCUGGUGUUCUAACGUAGACCCGUAAUCCGGGUUGCGGACAGUGUCUGGUGGGUAGUUUGACUGGGGCGGUCUCCUCCCAAAGAGUAACGGAGGAGCACGAAGGUUGGCUAAUCCUGGUCGGACAUCAGGAGGUUAGUGCAAUGGCAUAAGCCAGCUUGACUGCGAGCGUGACGGCGCGAGCAGGUGCGAAAGCAGGUCAUAGUGAUCCGGUGGUUCUGAAUGGAAGGGCCAUCGCUCAACGGAUAAAAGGUACUCCGGGGAUAACAGGCUGAUACCGCCCAAGAGUUCAUAUCGACGGCGGUGUUUGGCACCUCGAUGUCGGCUCAUCACAUCCUGGGGCUGAAGUAGGUCCCAAGGGUAUGGCUGUUCGCCAUUUAAAGUGGUACGCGAGCUGGGUUUAGAACGUCGUGAGACAGUUCGGUCCCUAUCUGCCGUGGGCGCUGGAGAAUUGAGGGGGGCUGCUCCUAGUACGAGAGGACCGGAGUGGACGCAUCACUGGUGUUCGGGUUGUCAUGCCAAUGGCACUGCCCGGUAGCUAAAUGCGGAAGAGAUAAGUGCUGAAAGCAUCUAAGCACGAAACUUGCCCCGAGAUGAGUUCUCCCUGAGACCUUGAGUCUCCUGAAGGAACGUUGAAGACGACGACGUUGAUAGGUCGGGUGUGUAAGCGCAGCGAUGCGUUGAGCUAACCGAUACUAAUGAACCGUGAGGCUUAACC
rnacentral:rRNA from 1 species